UACGUAGGGUGCGAGCGUUAAUCGGAAUACUGGGCGUAAAGCGUGCGCAGGCGGUGAUGUAAGACCGAUGUGAAAUCCCCGGGCUUAACCUGGGAACUGCAUUGGUGACUGCAUCGCUCGAGUAUGGCAGAGGGGGGUAGAAUUCCACGUGUAGCAGUGAAAUGCGUAGAGAUGUGGAGGAAUACCGGAUGGCGAAGGCAGGCCCCCUGGGUCAAUACUGACGCUCAUGCACGAAAGCGUGGGGAGCAAACAGG
rnacentral:rRNA from 1 species